AUGAAUAGUGUUUCAUUUUCCUGCGUAUUUAAAUAAGUACAUUGGUGCGUCCUGUGUCUGACAACUUUGACUGGUGUAGCAACUCUGGUUGUAUGUGUCAGGAGGUUGAGCAUGCGUCGGCUGCAGGGAAGUUGAUGAUGUACUUGGAGGAGCUGCAGCUUGGGAAAACGUAGAUUCUACUGAGGAACGUUGUCCUAAAUGUUCUAAUCCAAGAGCUUAUUUCAUGCAGAUUCAAACAAGAUCAGCAGAUGAGCCUAUGACUACU
rnacentral:misc_RNA from 1 species